rnacentral:rRNA from 1 species
GUAGGGUGCAAGCGUUAAUCGGAAUUACUGGGCGUAAAGCGUGCGCAGGCGGUUUUGUAAGUCUGAUGUGAAAUCCCCGGGCUCAACCUGGGAAUUGCAUUGGAGACUGCAAGGCUAGAAUCUGGCAGAGGGGGGGUAGAAUUCCACGUGUAGCAGUGAAAUGCGUAGAUAUGUGGAGGAACACCGAUGGCGAAGGCAGCCCCCUGGGUCAAGAUUGACGCUCAUGCACGAAAGCGUGGGGAGCAAACCAGGAUUAGAUACCCUGGUAGUCCACGCCCCUAAACGAUGUCUACUAGUUAUCGGGUCUUAAUUGACUUGGUAACGCAGCUAACGCGUGAAGUAGACCGCCUGGGAGUACGGUCGCAAGAUUA